UCGGCGUAGAGCGAGGAAGAGCGUUCGGGCGAUUUCAGUUAGGACGACUUCUUAUGUACCGUUGCCAUCGUGGCCGCCGUCGCCGCCGCCGCCGCAAGGUUCUCUCGAUAAGUUUCCGCGCACACCGCUGUGCACGAGUAUCGCAUUGUAGUAAACGGGAAAACUCGCCCUCGCCCCCGGUGCUCAUCCGCCCCCACCGCCCGCUAUCUCGCUCGCUCAUACACUCUCUCUCUAUCUCUUUCUCUCUCGCGCACUCUCACUCUCUCACUCUCUCUCUCUCUCUCACUCUCUCUCUCUCUCUCUCUCUGUCUCUCUCUCUCUCUCUGUUUAUCGCAAGAGAGAAUAAGAGAGGAACGACUCUUCGUCACGACGGAAUGGAUAACGCGGAACGCGAAUAGCCGAGGAGAAGAGGAGGAUCGAGGAGCGCGUAGUGACAUCGACGAACCUAAUCGAAAGCAUCGACUGUACCCAAACCCAAACACCUCCGAAUUCCAAACUCCGAAGCUGGUCCUGUACGCGGCUCGCUUGUUUGGCGUCUACUAUCGGGGUGACAGUUCCGUUCGUACCGUUGACCAUGGUACCCGAUGUGCGUCAUAUCUAACACUUGGUGAAACGUUGUUUCGUGAUGUAUACAUAAGUAUACGCAUGGUGACUACACCUUGUAUCGUUGUUCUUGGACUGUGGAAUGACGCGGGUGGUGCACGGGUUUCUUUAAUACCUGGAAGAAGGGACUGGCUGGGCUGAGUGUGCGUACCGAGUAAAGGUACCCGAAGGACCUUUAAACCCGGGAAAACAAUCCGGUGCAAGAGGGUUUUCGAGUACAAGGUAUAUACCUGCGUAGUGUACUCGAGACGUGAUUCGACGGUUCUCCGCGAUCGUCUUCAACCCGGAAAUCAGGGAUCAGUGGGAGGCGUUAAGGACGAGCUGAAACGGUGGAUAGCUACGGGCCUUAUUGCCCGGGCAAGGGGGCCGGCGAGGACGAGGAGGAAGAGGACGCAGAGGGCGAAGAAACCUGCGGAGACGGGACAGAACCUCAACGUCAGGGUGAGGAGAACCCGAAUCGGCAGCGUCAAAACUACGGCGACAAAAACCGCGCCAACGGGUGGUGGCCGAACGAACCGCGAAAAGACGCCGUCAUAGAUCGCAAUCAUAAGCCGCCGAUAAGAAACAACAACGAGGAACGUCGCAACAAGGGAGCCGCAGCGGUGGCGGGGGACCUGGCGUGCCUGGCUGGCUAUAUGGCGGGAUAUUUGAAGGCGGCGGGGGCGUCUUGCGCCCCCAACGGAAGCCCUCAAUAUCACCCCCAUAGCCACCCAGGUAUGGCCGGUCCUCCGCAUCAAGCUCCUCCGCACCCCUUCACGCUUGGGCCUCAUCCACAUUCACUGCCCCACGUACACUCCCUUCCCCAUUCUCAUUCCCAUCCGCAUCCGCAUCCCCACCCCCACCCCCAUCAACACCAACACCCCCACCCACACCCACACCCACACCAGCAUCAACAUCAGCACCAAAUACCGCACGCACAUCCUCACGGUCACGGUCAUCCUCACCCACUGGAUCACGGACUGGUUGCUACCGCGUUCCCGCAAGGAAUGAAUCAACGCAAGCAGCGCCGGGAAAGAACGACCUUUACCAGGGCACAGCUGGAUGUCCUGGAAGCUCUGUUCAUCAAAACGAGAUACCCGGAUAUAUUUAUGCGCGAAGAAGUCGCACUGAAGAUCAGCCUGCCUGAAUCGAGAGUACAAGUUUGGUUCAAGAACCGUAGAGCCAAGUGCAGGCAGCAGCUACAACAGCAACAACAACAGCAGCAGCAGCAGCAGCAGCAGCAGCAGCAACAACAACAACAGCAACAAACAACACCGCCAAAGGUAUCCCCUAGAAAUCAGCAGCAAUCGAACGCUUCGCAGAACGCGGGUAACAACAAGACAUCCCGAUCGAGUCGGAGAUCAUCGGGCGGAUCACCGCCCGGCGGCAAAGUUCCGCCGUCAUCGAAUUCACCGCUGCUUGCCGCACAUAACCUGAUGUAUCCAAGACUUGGAACGACGCCGACCGGAGGAAGCGGGGCCAGCAGCGUUUUGACGACACCAUCGCCACCGUUGACGCCUGGCUCUAGCCAAUUGCCACCGUCGUCUUAUCCACCUCAAAUGAACCAAAUGCACCACGGUGAUUACGGAUUCCCAUGGAGUUCCGCUUCGGCUGGACCCAUCAAUCCCGCACAAUGUUACGCUAGCCAGAACGGUUACAACGGUUAUCAAAACAGCUACGUGCCAUCCGACUAUUACCACCAGACCCAAUUAUCUCAGAUCUCGCAAAUAUCUCAGAUCUCGCAGAUAUCGCAAAUGCAUCACAACCCUCAAAACAAUUACCACCACCCCCAGUACCACCACAACAUGUUGCCAGCACCGGGAGCCAUGCCGCCUGUCCAAGGUGCCAUGCCACCGGUCGGUGGUAACGGGCCUCAUCCGAACCCACCACCUCCGGGGACCGCGCAGCACAACGGACAAGCACAGAAUCAGGCCCCAACCGAUUAUAUUUUGGAUGACGAGAAGAUAACCUAUCCCGGUGAACUUGACCCCGAUUUAAAUGAACAUAAUCAGUAAAUAUUCGUUAGAGUCGUAAAAGGGAUCGUCGACGAAAGAUAAACGCCUGGCGGAACUGGACGAAGAUGUCGAAAAUGGUGGGAGGGGAGGAUUGCAGAAAGAAUUGAGAAACGCGCGGUCCUCUUAUUUUCGUUUACUACUCUUCGCUCGAGUUUCGGCCUACUUUUCUUUUCAAUGUCACGCAAUAAUUUUGCAAAAACGGCGGUACGUCGCAUAAUUGACCGACAAGUGACGUUUUACUUCUCAUUUGUUUUCUUUCUUUGUUUCUUUCUUUCUUUUUCUCAUCAUUACUUCCGAUAUUCUUUAAAAGCCUUUUUCGAGUUGCGCUCUUUUAACCCUCUCGUCACUGCAAUCCUCCUACGCCCCGCAUUCUUCGCCGCAACGUUAUUUUACUUACAUUAGCAGACGCUAGGAAUACCAAUAUCAAGACUUUCAGCCAGUUACACAAUCUUGCCGAAACUGUUAAUACCUACUAUCUAACAAUCGAACACACCUACCGACUUGUAGAUAGUAAAUUUUUUAUAAGUUUGUCAGGAUAAAAAUUGGUAAAAAGAGAAAGUAUAAUUGAAUGAAUACGAGUGAAUUGCAAAAAUGAGAGUAAAAUAUGAAUGUACAAUAUGUACAUAACUGCUCCAUGCGACUCCUCAUAUUCAAAUCAAUACAAAGGUAUCACGUCCUACAAUUGUUGUUAGAUAAUUUGCUACUUAAUAUUAUUAUUAUUAUUUUAAUUUUAGUCGUUUUUUCCCCACACAAAAUACCUACUAUUAUUAUCCGUAUUAUUAUAAUUUACUAUUAUUAUCACCAUUCUUCUAUUAUAAUCUGCAUAUUGUUGGCAUCCUAAUCGCUAGUCGUAAUUCGUAUACCUGUAUUGUAAUGCUGAACAACGGUGUUCGGGGACCAGCGAACUCGUUCACCGUCCUACAGCCAUCAUGCAGGUAUUUUCGAAAUCUAACGACAAUAAUAUCGACGAUCUGAGGAUAGCCUGUAUAAUUUCAAAAAAAAUCUGCUAAGAGGAUAAGAAUAUUUCAUUUGUAUCAGUAUCAGUGAGAAAAUCGUUAUCAGAUUAAAGUUAACGAUAUUAUUUCAUCACGAAACAUUCGUAUACAGUGAAUUUGAAUACGUAUCAACUCGACGACGAUUUAGUUAUCCAAUAAUUUGGAUUUACACCGCGGAUGAUUUUGAAAAAAGUUUCAAGUUUCAUUCAACGUACGAACAACUAAUGGUAUGUCGCGUAUACGUACGAGGAGGGUUUAUAUUACCGUGUGAAACCGCGAUACAUCAAAAUUUUAUAAUUUUUGUGCAAUUUCUUCUUCUUCUUUUUUUUUUUUUUUUAUGUGGUUCGAUAUUCCAAGAAUAUGGCACUACAGCCUCAAAGAUUAAGCUAUUAUAACGAUUUUUCAGUCGAAUUACGGAUUUAUCCCUGUUACAAUAUUUUUUUCAAAAGGUAAAAAAAAAAAAAUAAUAAUUUCUCACCGUUUGCAAAUCUUCCUGAAUGACGCGAGUUUAAAAACAUCUUGAUGCGAAUUUAGAUAACCGCUAAUCAUUUUUUUUUUACAAAUGAUGCAUUUUUUGAAAUCUUUAUUGUACGAAAAUUGAUAUUCAACUUGCACUCAUUGUCAUAGAAAUUGAUAGCUUUUCAUCAACUACGUGACCGUUGGUAGUCUUUCGCUUACUGACUUUCGAGUUAUUUUGGAAAAUUUAGCAGGAAUUAUUAUUUUUUUUCCUUCCUUUUCUAUACUUUUCAUCUAUUUUCGUUUCUUUUCUUUUUUUUUCUUUUUUUUUCGUUCAAUUAAUGAAAACGUUGUGCGACUUUCGUAAAAAAAAAAAAAAAAAAAAAAAAAAAUGGGAAAUUCCAUACUUUCGAUCUUUCGCGCUUUCACGGAUAGACACUAAUUGGACGAAAAUUAACACGAUCAUUGUGCAUUCAUAGACAGAUUACGAAUGCCAAUGAUAAAUUCAGGCGUACGGUAGGUACGAUAUCAGAAGGAAUAUCGACACAAAAACCGAACAUUUUUUAACAACGAUACACGCAUAAUGUAAGAGAGAGAGAUUAUCGAAUCAAUAUGAUAAAACAUUUCAUUGUACAUAAUCUUAUACGUACGUGUAUGAUAAGAUGCAUAUGUAGUACCUAUAUAUAAGAAUAUGUUAUAUUACAAAAUAGUAAUAAUAACGAUGAUUUCACACAUCAUUGCGAUUACGAGCCUGGGGUUACGUUGAAACGUAAGACAAAAUAGAAAACGGAGAACGAAGAGAAAAGAUAAAUGGACAGUUCGUCAAAAUGGAACCGGCAUACGCACUUGUAUGCAAAUAAUGAAAAAGUGAAGUUGGGAACUGUAAAUAAUUAUUAUCAUCAUUUGAAUAAUAAAA